GAUGAACGCUGGCGGCGUGCCUAAUACAUGCAAGUCGAGCGAACGGACGAGAAGCUUGCUUCUCUGAUGUUAGCGGCGGACGGGUGAGUAACACGUGGAUAACCUACCUAUAAGACUGGGAUAACUUCGGGAAACCGGAGCUAAUACCGGAUAAUAUUUUGAAACGCAAGGUUCAAAAGUGAAAGACGGUCUUGCCGUCACUUAUAGAUGGAUCCGCGCUGCAUUAGCUAGUUGGUAAGGUAACGGCUUACCAAGGCAACGAUGCAUAGCCGACCUGAGAGGGUGAUCGGCCACACUGGAACUGAGACACGGUCCAGACUCCUACGGGAGGCAGCAGUAGGGAAUCUUCCGCAAUGGGCGAAAGCCUGACGGAGCAACGCCGCGUGAGUGAUGAAGGUCUUCGGAUCGUAAAACUCUGUUAUUAGGGAAGAACAUAUGUGUAAGUAACUGUGCACAUCUUGACGGUACCUAAUCAGAAAGCCACGGCUAACUACGUG
rnacentral:rRNA from 1 species